rnacentral:lncRNA from 1 species
GUUCCUAGCAACUUCAGUUUUACUGACCAGAAACAAUGGGUUUUGAGCCAUUAGUGUGGUUUUGCCGGUCAGUGGGAAAUGGGAUUUGGACACACAAAACACACAGUGCUUUUGGUUUAUAUACACCUUGUGCCAUUGAAUCAGUUGUGGGGAAUGCAUCUCAUUUGGUUCUUCUGGGAUUAUGCUUGUACAGAAUAUGGCUCAUCAAGAUAAAGCCCAAAGUUCAACGAUUCUUCUUGAGAGCAAAUCGCUACAAUUAUAUAUUGGCUUCAUUAGCCAGUUUUUGUGCUGCUGAACCGUUGUUCAGAUUGGUUAUGGGAGUUUCAAUCUUCAAUUAUGAUGCAGAGACUGGUCUUGCUCCUUUUGAGGUCAUGCAUCUGGAUUAUCUCUGCAUUACUAGUAUUGUUUUCAUAAAGUCCAAUCAUACUGUGCUUUUGUUAUGAUUUUCUUGGACAUCUUUAUUCGAGUUACAUUUUUUCUCGUAAGUAAAUCAUGGUCAAUGAGUAAAACUUGAAAGUAAUAAACAUUUUAUAGUUUUCUGUAGCGUAAUGUCUGGCAGUUUUAUUCUUUGAUGGCUUUAAACUAUUCGUCCAAUAUAUCACAUAGAGAGAUAAACGUAUGUAUUCCCCUACUUCAAGGAAAUAUCUAAUACAUUUACAAGUAGAAUGAUUUGAUCCUUUCCUGCUUCUGACACUUUGACAUGGUCUAGGACAUUUAUCGUCAAGGACAUAGCAUAGACAAUUUCUCCGUGGUUUUGUGUGUAAAGAAAAUUUACUUAUAAAUACUUGUGGUUUCAUUUCCAAAUUAAAUGGAAACUACUUUGUUGUUGUCGUAUGCUGAUGAUUUCUCACUGAAGUGACAUGUCAUAUUUUUACUAGAUGUUUACCCUUGGCCACUGAGGUCUGAUUUUAUCUGUGAAGAAUUUUAAAAACAAUCUCUUUUACAUAAUAUUUUCUAAAUGUAUUUUGACAAAGUAGUAGAUCAGACAUAAAUAUGGAAGGAGCAUAUGAAGAGAGUAAUUUCAAUCUGUGAGUAGUGUAUUUAUUUGGACCUUGAUUAUAUUCCCCCUCCCCGAUUGCCCUCUCGUGGUUGGGUGAAUAACAUUUGUAUGUGGAUUGUGGAAUGACAAAUCAGAAGCUAUAGUGUCAUUGUAUAGCUUUUCGGUUCUUGGAACUAAGUGACGUACACAACUGUUGAAACUUUUUGAAGAAGUUUUUCUAGCUUUGUUCAUUAAACUCAGUUACUCAGACACUUUCUUCUCUUUUACAGAUAGUUAAUUUGGGCAUUGAAGCUCUUGCCUGGGGCUCUGUUGUUGUUAUGCUUGCUGUUGAAACUAAAAGUUAUGUCAAAGAAUUCCGAUGGUAUGUCAGGUCUGGGAUAAUCUAUGUUCUGGUGGGAGAGGUAGUGAUUUUCAAUUUCAUACUUCCUCUGAAAGAUUUCUAUGUCAGGUUAGGUUCUCUGCCAUUAGUUUCGAAAUGUGCUACUUGAAAUCAAUAACUUAUUCAUCACUCUAUUAAUACUAACUACUAAGGCAUUUAUCACAUAUUUACUUCUACUUUUAACUUUUAAUCGCUGUUGGUGAGCACUGAGAAGUUUUACAGCAAUAUUUCUCUAGCUACGUCCCAAAUAAAUAGGCUGUUGGAGCAACAUAUAAUGUGUGUCAUGUGUCUUAUCAUUGAAGAGCAACUUGGCUAGUCAUUUUGGCUAUAGGAGGACAAAAGGCCAAUUAGUUACUAGCAAAUCCCAUUGCACAGGUAAUGCUUGGUGCCUUUCUAUGAUUAUACAGGGCGUCAUGAGGUGGUAUUCUCCAACCACAGGGAUAACUAUUUGACAGUAAUUAGACUAAAACAUUGGGAACAAUAGUUCCUAGUCAUAUCAGUGUCUUCUGUGAUUUAGUCUGCAGAUUGUUGGGCAUGUCUUUGAUUAGGACGACCAUUAUGAUACCAUUGGUACAAUUCUUAUAUAACUGAUGUUUUGGGGGGCAUCACUAACUCUUCUUUCUCAAAUUUGUAGGUCUAUCUUCUAUCUGUAUGUCUGUUCAUUCUUCGUCCAGGUAAAGUAGUACCUCUUUACCCUUUUUUAUUUGGAGUUUUGUUUCUUAGAUUGUGAGUCAGGUAUCAUGUAAAGUUUAACUUGUAUUGGAGUUGAAAUUGACUGUACUUAGUUACUAGAAGAUCAUGCAUGAAAUUAUGAUUUUGAUCAGAGUCUAGCCUCUUAUCCCUGGGAAGUAAACUUUGUUAAAUUAUGAACUUGAGAUUGAUAUACAUUGAUAGAGGUACAAAAUAUAGCAGGACAAUGUUGUUUUGCUUCAAUGGGGAAAUUUAGUACAUAUGUUGCUGUGAAUAUAUGGACAUGCAAAGUGCAUAGACAUAAGCUUGGUCUGAAUCAACGUCACCAACUGCUAAUGUUCACCACACACUUGAAAUAUUAAGUUAUCUUGCCUAUAUGAAGCAAGAUUUUCUAGUCUUGCUUCAGCCUCCAAGGAAGUUACUCCAAAAUCUGUUGUGUAACUAUCUUGAACCACGAUUUACAUGUUUUUUAACACCUGGUCAAAUGCAGCUUUUGUUUGGAGCCCUUCUUCUUUUCUAUGUUCCUCACUUGGAUUCUUAUCCAGGCUACAUGCCGCUUUCAAGUGAGUCUAUUGAUGGCAGCAAAGAUAAAGAACCUCUAGGAGAUCAUGUUUGUCCGGAGAGAGAUGCCAACGUAUUUUCCAGUAAGUAGAUUUUAUAAUUUCUGUCAUUUCUAUUGAUAUUAUCAAAAUUCGAGUAUACCUCUUAUUUAUUGCAUGGUAAAAAACUUACAAGAUAUUGCUACAUCUUUAAUAGAAGUUAAUGAUACAAUCAGAUGUAAAUUACUACUGUUGUAACCUAACAUAAUAUCAAAACAACAUAAUAUGUAAUGCCACCGCUGCUUUUUCUGAUAACUCGAUGCCUUUUCCCUGUGAUAGGGAUUUACUUUGGAUGGAUGACUCCCCUUAUGCGUCAAGGCUACAAAAGACCCAUUACUGAUAAGGAUGUAUGGAAAUUGGACUCCUGGGAUCAGACUGAGACAUUGAAUAAAAAGUUUGUAUUUGGUCUUUUCUCUUUCAAUUCACUUUUACAUAUUUUUAAAUUUCAAUGUUGUAUGACAUUACAUUUGGUGUGGAUGUUUUAGAUUUCAGAAUUCUUGGGCAGAAGAAGCUCAAAAAUCAAAGCCCUGGAUUUUACUCGCUUUAAAUAGUUCCCUUGGAGGCAGGUAUAGUAUGAC